AGAGUUUGAUCCUGGCUCAGGAUGAACGCUGGCGGCGUGCCUAAUACAUGCAAGUCGAACGGAGGAGUAGCAAUACUUUCUCAGUGGCGAACGGGUGAGUAACGCGUUGGUGACCUGCCCCGAAGUGGGGGACAACAGCUCGAAAGGGCUGCUAAUACCCCAUGUGAUCAUCGGUUUUAGAAUCUGGUGAUUAAAGGAGUAAUUCGCUUCGGGAGGGGCCUGCGUCCCAUCAGCUAGUUGGUAAGGUAAUGGCUUACCAAGGCGAUGACGGGUAGGGGACCUGAGAGGGUGACCCCCCACAAUGGAACUGAAACACGGUCCAUACACCUACGGGUGGCAGCAGUAGGGAAUAUUGGUAAUGGGCGAAAGCCUGAACCAGCAACGCCGCGUGUGCGAUGAAGGCCUUCGGGUUGUAAAGCACUUUUUGAGGGGAUGAGGAAGGACAGUACCCUCAGAAUAAGUCUCGGCUAACUACGUGCCAGCAGCCGCGGUAACACGUAGGAGACUAGCGUUAUCCGGAUUUACUGGGCGUAAAGCGCGUGCAGGUGGCUCGGAAAGUUCGAUGUGAAAGCUCCCGGCUUAACUGGGAGAGGUCGUUGAAUACUUUCGGGCUAGAGGAUGGGAGAGGGAGGCGGAAUUCCGGGUGUAGUGGUGAAAUGCGUAGAUAUCCGGAGGAACACCAGUGGCGAAAGCGGCCUCCUGGCCCAUUUCUGACACUCAGACGCGAAAGCUAGGGUAGCAAACGGGAUUAGAGACCCCGGUAGUCCUAGCUGUAAACGAUGUAGACUUGGCGUUGGCGGGUUCAAAUCCGUCAGUGCCGAAGCUAACGCGAUAAGUCUACCGCCUGGGGACUACGGCCGCAAGGUUAAAACUCAAAGGAAAUUGACG
rnacentral:rRNA from 1 species